ACCCUAGAAGCUUCAAUGGCUAUUUUCUUGAGUCGGCGCUCCUGAUCUACUUCAGCUUUUGCAUGACGAACAUAAUUGGUGAGUUCUUUUAUCUGAGCCCCAAGUGUAUCCCUUAUCAUCUUGUUUUCCUUUGUGGCUAGAUGCCACCAACGCUCAUUGUCUUGACAUUCUUUCUGAGCUUGUCGUAGUUGACCCUUAAGAGUAUCCAAACAAUGAUCAGCUUGUUCUAAUCCCACU
rnacentral:lncRNA from 1 species